rnacentral:rRNA from 1 species
CAGCCGCCGCGGGAAUACGUAGGGUGCAAGCGUUAAUCGGAAUUACUGGGCGUAAAGCGUGCGCAGGCGGUUUUGUAAGUCUGUCGUGAAAUCCCCGGGCUCAACCUGGGAAUGGCGAUGGAGACUGCAAGGCUAGAAUCUGGCAGAGGGGGGUAGAAUUCCACGUGUAGCAGUGAAAUGCGUAGAUAUGUGGAGGAACACCGAUGGCGAAGGCAGCCCCCUGGGCUAAGAUUGACGCUCAUGCACGAAAGCGUGGGGAGCAAACAGGAUUAGAUACCCGUGUAGUCCCUGUCUCUUAUAC